UACGAAGGGUGCUAGCGUUGUUCGGAAUUACUGGGCGUAAAGCGUGUGUAGGUGGUCUUCAAAGUCAGGGGUGAAAUCCCGCAGCUUAACUGCGGAAUUGCCUUUGAAACUGGGAGGCUUGAGUCUGUUAGAGGAUAGUGGAAUUUCCAGUGUAGCGGUGAAAUGCGUAGAUAUUGGAAGGAACACCAGUGGCGAAGGCGACUAUCUGGGACAGUACUGACACUAAGACACGAAAGCGUGGGGAGCAAACAGA
rnacentral:rRNA from 1 species